rnacentral:lncRNA from 1 species
GAAGCAGGGUCUCGCUCUGCCAUCUGCCACCCAGGCUCGCGCGCAGUGGUGUGAUCUCAGCUCACUGCAACCUCCACUUCCCAGGUUCAAGUGAUUUUCCCGCCUCAGCCUCCUGAGUGGCUGGGAUUACAGGCAUGCCCCACCACACUCGGCUAAUUUUUGUAUUUUUACUAGAGACGCUGUUUCACCGUGUUGGCCAUGAGGUCUCGAACUCCUGACCUCAAGCGAUCUGCCCACCUUGGCCUUCCAAAGUGCUGGGAUCACAGGCAUGAGCCACCAUGCUAACUACCCUUCCUAACUACCCUUCUCUAACCUCCAAGCCAGGCCAGACCAGUGGCUCCCCUCAUGUCUGUGGGCACCGGGCCUGGCACAUGGGGUCUCGCCUGUACCUCCUCCACUAACCAUGAGCCCGCCAUGUCUGCAUCACGAGGACCACCCAGAUGGCCAGCCCAAGAAAACCAUCUUACUCUCCACCCUGCCACGUGCCUCAAAUUCUGCCCCUCCGGAUGCACAGGGGAAGGGCACACAAGACACAGCUGGGUACAGGUUUAUUGUGGCACUGGAGGUGAAAGGGGGCUGGUGUGGCCAGCACCGGUGUGCUGUGGUGGUGGAGGGAGUGGGGUGGGAGGAUAAGGUGGGUGGGGCAGGGCCCAGGGAGCCCCAGGCUCGGGCCAGGAGCCAGGGUUAAGGCAACCAUUGCCAGCCCUACCCAGAAAUGCAGGGCCACGACUCCAGGCCCCUCAGGCUAGGGGCCACCGCGGCAGCUGUGGGCAGAAGGGGCUCACACAUGAGAGAAGGCAUGGCUCUUGCAGAGAGGCCUGUCCUUCUUGGAGUAGAAGGUCUUUCCUUCCAGGUUGAUCUGACAUAUCUAAGGACAGCAAAGGCCCAGUCACAUGGGGUUGGGGGCAGCAGGAGAGGCCCCUUCCCAACUUCUCCUGCAUCUCCUGGGGAAUGAACAGAGGGCCGGUGGGCUUGGGGCUCAGUUCGAGGGGCGGGGCUCUCACCGCACAGACGAAGCAGGUGUCAUGCCAGCUGAAGCCCAGGGCCUCCAGGAAGCGGUCCCCAGCGUCGAUCUUGAAGUCACAGCCAUGGCAUUUCGUGCCAAACAUCUUCUCAUAGUCUGAGAAUGGGGGCAGAGAGAAAGAGGACCUGGAUUCAUGCCUGCCCCAUGCACCAUCCCUCCUCACCCUCACUGGCCAGUGGGUACCUCGCUCGCAAUAGGGCACGCCCUCCUCCAUGUAGAAGGCCCUGUUCCGGAUGGGCGUCUUGCAGGCAGCACAGGUAAAGCAGUGCACGUGCCAGGUCAUCUUCAGGGCGUGCAUGAUCUCCUGGAAGGAGGUCCCAGUCACUCGGCAGGCUCAGGCCCCUCCUGCCCUGCCCUGGGUCACGGGAACACAGGAGGGCUGGCCGCAAGCCCUGUUCCUUCUCGCGGUAAACACUACAUCUAACUGUUCAGGACUCCCACACCUCCAUCUCCAACUCCAAGGUCUCUGAGUGGACGACCACUGCGCCUUCAGACUUGCCAUGUCCAGCACUCAGUUCCUGAUUCCCUCACCCCAAACCUCUCCUCCCACAGCCAUCCCCAUCACGCGGAUGGCAACUCCAUUCUCCUGUCUGCUGCAGCCAAACACACCCUCCUCUCACACCCCACACCAGGUCCACCAGGAAAUCCAGUGGGGCCCACCCCCAAGGCACAUCCAGAUUCUGAGUGCUUCUCACAGCCUCCCUGAAGUGAGGUAAGCCAUGGCCAUCUGGCCCGUGGGACCACAUAACAACUGGCCUACAAGCUCCUCUCUCUGAUCCCAGCUGCCACAGCGUGCCCCUGCAACCCAAGACAGGCCUUCUCCCCCUGCAUGAAACUGUGUACUGCUUCCCAUUGCUCCCAGCAAGAGCCAAGCCCCAUGCAGAGGCUGGAGGCCAGCAGGUCUGACCUCGUUCCCAACCGUCUCCGCCACUGCUCUCCCUUGCGUUCUCACCUUGCCUCUGCACACUGGCCUCUUGCCUGAAACUGGCACACCAGGCACACUCCUGUCCUGGGCUUGACACCGGCUGUCCCCUCUGCCUGGACUGCUCUGCCCCAGAUAUCUCUAGGCUCACCCCUCACCCCCUUCAAGUUUCUGCUCGAAUGCAGUCUUCUCCAUGAGGGCCCACUCUGACCACACCAGCAGCAGCCAGCUGCCUUCCCUGCACCACGCACCCCAGCACUUGUCGCUCUGCUCUUUCCUGUUUUCCGUAACGUGAUCUAACAUUACUUCCAGGCAACCUACUUAUUGCGCUUAUUGCUUACAGUCUGCCUCUCCCCUCUUCUUCCAGCCAAAAUGUAAGGCCCAGAAGGGCAGGAAGCAUCAACUGUUUUGUUAGCUGAUCUAUCCCCACAGUGCCUGGCCCUUUGUGGGUGAGUCGACUGGCCUCCGCAGGAGGUGGGAAGGGGCAGAGGCACAAGGGGCUGAGCUCUCCCUGGGCUGGGCUGUUCAUCCCUAGGACCCUCGGGGCCAGCCGGGGCCAGCCAGGGCCAGCAGUAUUCACAUCUGGAGCAGGCAGAGGGCAGCAUGGGGCCUCGAGGCGGUAUGAGGGUCCAAGAUGUGUGGGUCUGGCCAGACCUUGACCUUCUCAAGUCUUGGUUUCUUCCCUUGUGAACUGGGAAGCUAAUCCCAGCCUUGUGAGGCUGUUAUGAGGAUGGCCCUGAGUUUAAAUCCAGGGAUCCCAGAUCCAAUCCCUGCAAGGGCCAAGUGGGGACUGUGUCACACGGAGGAGGACCUCUUCUUCUGGGAGCAGUACUACUGGUUCAUUCAGGAAUGCCUGCCUGGCUCAGGCUGAAAUCUAGGUGUUAAAGAGAAAUCUGCUGGGCGCAGUGGCUCACGUCUGUAAUCCCAGUGCUUUGGGAGGCCAAGGUGCUGGGAUUACAGGCAUGAGCCACUGCAUCAUGCAGGCAAAUCUUCUGAUUUUUUAAAUUGUUUGCUA